UGUCGAGUUCUGAGGGGGGGGGGGAGGGAAGAGGGGAAUGUUGGGACUGUCGCUGGUCCUCCUUCGAAGUGGAGGGGGGCAUGUGCACGUCUGCUUCGCCUGAUUCCUUUCUCUCUUUCUCUGUUCCACCUUACACCUGUGCACUCGUAGUAGGUCCUCGAAAGAGGACCUAUGUGUUUUCUUUCUGCGUCACGCGCCCGUCGUAUGUCUAUAGAAUGUGUCGGAAAUGAAAUCAUACAACUUUCAGCAACGGAUCUCUUGGCUCUCGCAUCGAUGAAGAACGCAGCGAAUUGCGAUAAGUAAUGUGAAUUGCAGAUUUUCAGUGAAUCAUCGAAUCUUUGAACGCACCUUGCGCUCCUUGGUAUUCCGAGGAGCAUGCCUGUUUGAGUGUCAUCGAAUUCUCAAUCCGUGUACUCGAUCUUGCCGUCGAGGCCAUGGCUUGGAUGUUUGGGGGUUGCUGGCCUUGUCGGCUCUCCUGAAAUGCAUUAGCAUGGGGUGGGCGAGUCUUUUCGACGUGCACGGCCUCUCGACGUGAUAAUGAUCGUCGUGGCUGGAGCGUCUGGACGAGCAUGCAUCGUUCCUUGCUUCGAACCUUGAUUUUCCUCUGUUCCCCUUGGACUGGGCUGCUGCUGCUAGUCGGCCGUGAGGCUGGCGAACGUACGUGCCGAGGGGGGGAAGGGGGGGAGACUCUGGACGCUUG
rnacentral:misc_RNA from 1 species